rnacentral:rRNA from 2 species
GGAAUUAGGCGUCUAUACAUGCAAGUCGAGCGCGGGAAGCAAGCAGAUCUCCUUCGGGGGUGACGCUUGUGGAACGAGCGGCGGACGGGUGAGUAACACGUGGGCAACCUACCUGUAAGACUGGGAUAACUCCGGGAAACCGGGGCUAAUACCGGAUGAAACAAAGCGUCGCAUGACGCAAUGUUAAAAGGCGGCAUAUGCUGUCACUUACAGAUGGGCCCGCGGCGCAUUAGCUAGUUGGUGAGGUAAAGGCUCACCAAGGCAACGAUGCGUAGCCGACCUGAGAGGGUGAUCGGCCACACUGGGACUGAGACACGGCCCAGACUCCUACGGGAGGCAGCAGUAGGGAAUCUUCCGCAAUGGACGAAAGUCUGACGGAGCAACGCCGCGUGAGUGAUGAAGGUUUUCGGAUCGUAAAACUCUGUUGUUAGGGAAGAACAAGUGCCAUUCAAAUAGGUUGGCACCUUGACGGUACCUAACCAGAAAGCCCCGGCUAACUACGUGCCAGCAGCCGCGGUAAUACGUAGGGGGCAAGCGUUGUCCGGAAUUAUUGGGCGUAAAGCGCGCGCAGGCGGUCCUUUAAGUCUGAUGUGAAAGCCCACGGCUUACCGUGGAGGGCCAUUGGAAACUGGAGGACUUGAGUACAGAAAGGAGAGUGGAAUUCCACGUGUAG